rnacentral:lncRNA from 1 species
AGCUGCUUCCUUCUUCAUAGCAGUACUCUUUCUACACAUUCUGGCCUAUGCCAUAAAAUUGCAUGACCUUCUCAGAUAGAAGCGUUUAAAAAUCACAGAUAAGAAGAGUAAAUACUUCAGGAGAAUGAUGAAAGUAAACUCUGUAAUUUACUAAGUGCCAGCUCUAUUCAUGCCAGUGUAGCCUGAUCUCAAACACAUUCAGAACGCUAACAAAAGAAGGGGUGUAUCCUCAAAAAAAGGAAAGCUGGGCUGGGGCUAGCAGUCAAGGAUUAAAGUGGUUGGAUUUCUUUUUACAGGUGGUGAAAACUGACCCUAGCACAGUGAAGACAUGGUGGAAAUGUUUUAGCUAAAGACUUUAGAGAGAAAGCCCUCGUUCAACCACUUUCAGGAGCGUGUCAAAUAAGCAGAUGCCAGCCAAAUGUUGUUCUCCUUCCCAUCUCUUCUUACAUAGUUUUCCUGCCAGAGCUGUACAGGGGUUGAAGUGGAUGAUGAAGAGGCUGAGCAGGGGGUCUGGCAGCGCUGCAUCCCACACAGACGCCUCUCUUGUGGGCAUGCCGAGAGAGACAUGCCCCCCCGGUUGGAAGGUUGCUGGCAGUCUAGAACCGGAACUGCAGAGGGAAAAGGCUGAUUAAUUAAUCUACCUUACCACCUUCUAUGUACCUGUCUGUUUUCUCACCUCAUCCAUUUCUCCAAUUUUUUCACUCUUUCUUUACUCUAAAUGUGUUUCUUAAGGGGAUAGUUCACCACAAAAUUUAAAUUCAGUCGUAACUCAUUUCAAAGGCUAUAUGGCUUAAUUUCAUCUAAAAAAAAAAAAAAACCUUAUGAAGAAUGUACUGGUCUUUAUUUUCAUACAAUCUUUAGUGAAUGGUGACUGGAGCUUUAUAAGCUUCUUAAAGGAGUACAUAUGAGUUUCAAUGCUUUAUUACUAGCUAUAAAAUAGCUUUGUGUGAGAAACAGAAAAGACAAAUUUUAAUGAUAUUCUCUGAAAAAAACAACAACCACUCUAGCUUGUAUUAUCCAGUUUAGUUCCUGUUUGCCCUUAUUUGGUUUAGUUCCUGUUCUCGUUAUUAGUUAAUCAUCGUUUAUUCUGUUCACUUGUUAUGUUUCAUUAUCCCUUUUGUCUCCUCUCCAUUUAAGCCCUGGCCUGAGUUCUCCUGAGUUUCUUUGUCUCGGACUGAUGCUGUUUUCACUGGAACAUGUGUGUUGUCGCUGAAUUCUCCAGCCCUUUGUUUUGGAAGUUAUAAUUAAAAUACUAUUCAUGUUUAUGCCCUCAUCGUGUUAUUUACUA